rnacentral:lncRNA from 1 species
GGGAAAGGGAUUUUUUUUGUUGUUCCUAACACAACUUGUCCUUAUUCCUAUUCCUAACGGCUGUGUCCUGCCUCCAUUGGCUGGAGUUGAACCGCUCAAUCUGAACUGAACCUGAUUGGCUAACUUGAAAGACAGCUUUGGCGGGAAGAGUCCUCACAGAGGGAGGGGUAAAUUACAGAGUGAGCAGCAGACGUGGGCUCUGUAGGUAAGGACCAGCGGGAGAGUUGCUUACUGGACCUGGAAGAAACAUGAUAGAAUUUCUGGAGCAUUCACUUUAGAGGAAACCACGGGAUGGUCUACAGUGAAGGCUUGAGGAGCUUUUCCCUCCUCCGUGCUAGGUGGGUAGUUUCCACUUUCCACUGCCCACCUCCCACAGCUCCUCCCAAACACACAUACAUAUCGUUUUUCACACCAUCAUCCUUUUUGGUAAAGAAAUGUGUCCACUUCUGGCCUGCAUUAGUCAGUUCCUCACCAGGUGCCAACACUGUUAGAUCUCCUGAAAAAUGUAUCUCAUAAAAGAGCUGUAGCAGGAGGGAGUAUCAGAGAAGAGAGUAGCCUUCCUUUUUCUGUCUGGCUGUAAAACCAUCUGGUGAAGCCCCUGCAGAGGUGGGCUGUGUGCCCAAGCCCUACCUUGGAGAGACACUUGGUUCCCUUUUCCAGCAGGUUUCUUCUCCUGACAGAUAAUUCUGUUAGCUAAUCAGGGGCUCCUCAAAUCCGAAUCUGAGCUCCCUCUUCUAUUCUCACCUCUCUGCCAGGGAAAUUUUCUUGGCAAUUGAAACCAAAGCCAUAGAUUGGCAGUGGGACUCUACUUGGCUGGGGGUAAAAUAAGCAAUGAUUGCACAUAAUUGCAGAAAACAAUUUUGAAUUUUAUUAAUGAGGUGCUCCAAACAACAUCUUUUAGCCCAUUGUCCCACUAAACAGCCAAUUCACCGGAGUUCAUUGUGCUGUAAUUUACAUCUAUCUUCCCCCAUUGAUAACACCAGGCCCUUGUGUUGUGUAAUUGACACAAGUUGGUUAUUUUUGGGGGUGUUUCUCUCUCUAAGGACAUAAAAUAAACAGACUUGCUGGCGAGCGGGAUUGAUUUAGCCUCAGCCACAGAGCCAAUUGGCUGCUGCUGCUUGACGCUCAUUUUCCUUCCUCAGGAGAGGUGGCACAGCCGUGGGUACAUGCACAGAAUGUCCUCAGGUUAAAGAUGCUGAAGUGGAGGCCUGGGGAGGCAAGUGAAUACCUAUAGUGAGAAAAUGAGACUUCUUUCCCUUUCUUUUGCUUGUUGCCACCCAGGACCCAACAUCUCCAGGUCGAGCUGAUUUUUAGUGUGCGCAGCCAGGGUUUGGGGGCAGUGGAGGUAAGAUUCAGGGGAGGGUUUCCAGGAGGGGAUAUAGGCCAACAUGUCCUUCAGCAUCUCAUCUCAAAAUGCAACACGUGUGAGUCACGUGGUGGCGGGCGCCUGUAGUCCCAGCUACUCAGGAGGCUGAGGCAGGAGAAUGGUGUGAACCCGGGAGGCGGAGCUUGCAGUGAGCCGAGAUCGCGCCACUGCACUCCAGCCUGGGUGACAGAGUGAGACUCUGUCUCAAAAAAAAAAAAAAAAAAUACACACACACAAAAACAGCGGGGCAUGGUGUCACAUACCUAUAACCCCAGCUACUCAGGAGGCUGAGGCACGAGAAUCACUUGAACCCAGGAGGCAGAGGUUGCAGUGAGCAGAGAUUGCACCACUGCACUCCAGCCUGGGUGACAAGAGCAAGACACUAUAGGUCACAGUGAG